UGGGGCUGCAGGGCUGGGAGAUGUGGGGCUCUGCAGCCCCUCGACAUCACAGCCCUUCCGCCCCCCUUC